UGGCGAACGGGUGAGUAACGCGUGAGGAACCUGCCUCAAAGAGGGGGACAACAGUUGGAAACGACUGCUAAUACCGCAUAAGCCCACGACCCGGCAUCGGGUAGAGGGAAAGGGAGCAAUCCGCUUUGAGAUGGCCUCGCGUCCGAUUAGCUAGUUGGUGAGGUAACGGCCUACCAAGGCGACGAUCGGUAGCCGGACUGAGAGGUUGAACGGCCACAUUGGGACUGAGACACGGCCCAG
rnacentral:rRNA from 1 species